GCUUACGGCCAUACCAGCCUGGGUACGCCCGAUCUCGUCUGAUCUCGGAAGCGAAGCAGGGUCGGGCCUGGUUAGUACUUGGAUGGGAGACCGCCUGGCAAUACCAGGUGCUGUAAGCA
rnacentral:rRNA from 1 species